rnacentral:lncRNA from 1 species
UGCGAGGGACGCGGAGGUCCUGGGCUCCCCGACCGAGGUAUAUCUCCAUGAAUAACCUAAAUGAUCCCCCAAACUGGAAUAUCCGGCCUAAUUCCAGGGCAGAUGGUGGUGAUGGAAGCAGAUGGAAUUAUGCCCUGUUGGGUCCAAAGCUGGGACUGGCUGCUUUUCGAUGUUUUGGGAACGAGAAACAAGCACAGAAAAUGGGCUAGGAAGACAGUGGAUGACACCGAUGGGCUGAUCACGGUUCCAGGAUGGUCUCGCCAUGGAGGUGACGGUCUCGCCAUGGAGGUGACAGGGUGAAUGCUGCAGUGCAGGACUGGGGGCGCCACAGGAACGGGCGCUCCAGGUAGGGUGUCGUCCUGGAAGGAUGAGAGUCCUGAGAACAGCUGGGUGGGAGCAGGGUCCGCCAGCUGCACGGGGGUGGGGAGGGUGCCAUGAGGGCCUGAGAGCAGCGAGGCAGGGGAGGAACCCUAAUCCCUCAUCUGCAUGAGAUGUCAGGCCUGCCAGAGCCCCAUGGAGCUCGGAAUGGAGCUGGGGAGGAGCAUUUGCCAGGUCUCCCAUCCCCUCCUUCUGCCCACUGGGAUUGCUCCUGAAGAAAGAAGAACCCAUCAAGUCCUUGUAAAUGUGCUGGGAGAGAACCCCUGACAGUGCCUGGUGCUCACUCCUGGGGAGCCACUGUCGCAGGUGAAGUUUCUGGGCUCAGGCCCAUGGCACCUGGAAAAUGUCGUGUUUCAGUGAAAUGAUCUUCAAAGUCCAAGAGGAAAUGUUCCAGGCACCCCUCAGAGACCCUGUGAGGCAGGAAGGACAGUGGGGCCACGAGGGUCCCCAGCUUCUCCAGCUCGACCUGUGCCUGGAAAUUACUCCCUGAAAUCGUGAGCAGAGCUGGAUGCUGGGUCAGUUCUGUGAUCUGUGGGACUCUACCCUUAAUGGCUUCAUUUAUUUACAGGGAUCUAACCUUAUAUUUAUCUAUGUAAAGAAUGAAAUUGGUCAUUUCUUAGAUUCACCUGUGCUUGAGAUACCUUUUUAAGAAUAUUUUCCUAGCCAUUAAAUAAGUCAAUUUUCUUUUUUCAUUUUCCUGUUGCUAUGUGACAAAGGUAAUAUUCUAUACUUUUUGUAUUAAAGGACUUCAAAUUAUUGAUACUUUAGAUGACUUCUAAAGUUCUUGCCAUAUUCUGAAUGAAGAAUGUGAGCCCCAGGUUAGAAACAUCAACAUGAUGUGGACUAUUCUGAGCUCAACAGAACUGACUGAACUAGCAGGGUGUGUUUUUGCUGCUUCGUCCACUCACACACUGUCUGAGACCCAUUCAUGUCUCUGGAGGUCCCUCACCUUGCGCUGGCUGACUCCCCUGAGGGACUUGCUGGGACGUCCUCAUCCAUCUGCUGUGAACGACCAUUUGGAUCUCUUCCCACUCGGGUUUGUGCGAACAGUGACACCAGGUGCAUCUGAAAUAUGCCACAUGCCCAGGUGCACGUGGGGUGUGUGCAGCUCCCUGACCCCUCUGCGGCGGGACAGCAAUGAGGCCCAGGGCGUAGCGGGGAGGUUUGGGUGUGGGAGCAGGCUGGGGUUGGAGAGAGGACGCUGGAUUCUGGACUUUAUCUAAGGGCUGAGCAGCAGGCGUCAUGGCAGAUCGGGUCUGGUGUUGAACUGACCUGAUUGUCGCAGAGAACUGAUGUUCAUGGUUUCUCUGAAUAACAUAGAAAUGGAUCCUUGUGGUCUUGAAACUUGAGAACGUGACGUGUCUUAUUUGAGUUCCUUUCUCAGAAAACUGACCAUCAGGCCUCCUGGGUAGCGUGAAGGAACAGACUCAGCAGAUCACGGCAUCUGGUCAGUGAGACACCAAACCCUUCACCCAUCAUGAUUGUCUGAUCAGCCACCUGCCUCCUCCUGACCAACUCCUCUUCCUCUCUCCCCCUAAUUCCUGUUUUCCUUACACAUAGUCACAUUUCUUCCCUGCUAUACAGUCAGUCAGGAAAAUGCAUUUGAGGCUGACCUCCCAUCUCCUAGCCUGCAGCUCCUGAUGCACGCCUUCUUCACUGGCAGUAACCAUCGUCUCAGUGACUGGCUUUCUGUGUGCUGAGCAGUAGGAUCUGGAACAAACCCUUGCAUUUUGGAAACAUGGAGAGCAGCCUCAGCAGGCCCCCGGCCCCGAGUGCAGUCAUGACUAUUAAGGACCCACACCAACCCCCAAAGGUGAGUGUGGACAAGAAGAAAAGGCUCCUGAGGAUCCAACCAGGAGAAUUCCUGCAAUGUCACGGAGAAUCAUGGCCACCCGGCCCAUUCCCCCAUUGAAGGGCAGCUGCAAGAUUCAGCUCAUUUGUCUUCUUUCCUGGACAUGUUCAAAUCUCUUUCAACACAACCUUGUGAUCCUGAGAUUCCAUCAAGAUGUGCAUUGUUUUACAAUAUUGCUUUAAUUUACUCUGCCAGCUAUCUGGGGAAAUGCAACCUCAUCAGCAGAAAUUAUUUCCUCCCUGCCGCUUCUGAAAUCUGUUAUUUCCUAUAGCCAGGUACUGAGCCCUUCAACUGAAGUCUAAACCCUCCACCCUCUCCCUCCGGGGUCGCCAAGCCGGUGGUUUGUUCCAUGCUCCCAGGCAGAUUGUGUCAACUCAAAGUCCAACGUGCUUAAGAAAUACUUAAUUUUAGGAGGUUUUUUUUUUAAUGUUUUUGUUUCAUGGAGGUGACACCCUCUGUCUUUGACUUGUGGGCGCCUUCCUCCUUCAGUCUGCAUGUACUGAAGCCAGUGUCUGCUGUACAGCCUCUCAGCCGCAGCCCACAGUGAGGUGCAGGUGCUCAGCCUUCGCCCCAGAGAGCGCCUCCAUUCGCCCCUCCACCCGUAGCCCCUCGAAACCACUGCCCUGCUUCCCAACACGGUAGCAAUGUCUUCUCCAAGGUGUCAUGUGGCGGCAUCCUUCGGCCUGUGCCCACCAAAACUAGCUUUCUUCACCAGGCAUGUGGCCUGGGAGACCUGGGGCAUUUUGGGUGCAUGUUUCCACUGCUGGUUGGUGCCCCCUGUGUGGAAGCAUCCGCGUUGGUUCACGCCUUCUCCUGCCGAUGGACAAUUUGUUUUCUUCCAGUUAUUGGCAAUGAGCAAUGAGGCCUAAACACUUGAGUGCAGGUUUGUGUGUGCACGUUUAAGUUUUCUCUUGGGGGAAAUUUCAGGAGUGGGGUUGCUGGAUGACGUGGUAAGGAUGUGCUUAACUCAAUAAGAAACUCCCGGACCACGUUCCAGCAUGGCGGGAUCCCUCCCAUUCCCACUGCCGCUUAUGAGGGUCCCAGUUCCUCUGCAUCGUCACUAGAAGCUGGGUUGGCCCGUGGUUUUUGUCUGUUUUUAGCCAUUUUAAUAGAUUUGCAGAGCUACUGUUGACUGGCAUUUCUCUAGCAUCUCUAUGAUGUUGAGCCUCUUUCUCGGGCAAUAUGCCCUCCUUAUACCUUCCUUGAUGAGGGCUCCAUUAAAAUAUUUGCCUUCUCUUUAAUACUGGGGCUUUUACUUUCUUAUGGUUAAGUUUUGACGGUUCUUCGGAUAUUCUGCGUGCCAGUACAUUGUGAGAUGUGUGAUUAACCAGUAUUUUUUUUCUAGCCCAUAGUUUGCAUUUCAUUCUUUUAAGAUUUUUAUAUUGCUUUAUAGAAUUAUAAUUUUAAAUUAUGACUAAAUUUAAUUUGUCAAUCUUCUA